GAUUCUGAUGAAUUAUUUUGCGAUAUUGAAUAUUAUUUUGAGUUUGAAUGUUAUGUUUAACGUGGUUCUGAGUGUGUUUAGAUUGCAUUUCGAUGUUAUUGUAAUUCAAGUUGAGGUAAUUUGUUUGUUUGGUCUCUGAAAUGGUGUUGUUGCUUGAUGCCCGUAAUCCCCAAUUCUGGUAAUUUCCUGUGCUCGCACGCAUAUCUCUCAUUUUGUAGUGUGACUUUGUACAGGUAUGUCAGGAUCCCUACGCACAUGAAUGGUUCGUGGCCUCGGUAGCCAACGUCAAGGCAUGGGUACUUUUGGUUCUCCAAGACAAAAGUUCCGCAAAGGUGAAAGGUCUCGAAGGAUGUGGACGCUAAGGGAGGAGGAGAUUUUGGCAACCACCCUGCUGGAGCUAGUUGCAUGUGGUUGGAAAUCCGACAACGGUUUUAGAGCCGGGUAUUUACAGAAAAUCGAAGAUAGCAUUCGUGCAGAAUUCCCAAACACAGACCUCAGGGGAAAUCCGCAUGUCCAAUCGAAGAUUUACGCUUAAAAAAAAAGUUACGGUUGUCUUCGUAAUAUCCUAGCUCGUAGUCGCAUCGACUUCAACAACGACGACCAGUAUAGAAUCGAUUGUGAUGACGAACAAUGAGAGCAGAUUGUUCAGGCUGACAAAUAUGCAAAAUUUAAGCGUCACAAGUCGUGGCCCUUUUGGGAGACUUGGAAAAGCAUAUUUGGCAAAGAUCGGGCCACUGGAGUUGCUGCUGAGCAGUUGGAUGUGGUUGCCGAUGCAUUGCGUAACAAGCAAUCAGUGGGGAGUGAAACCAACGAGAACGAUUAUCAUCCUUCCUUUAGGGUUUAGGGUUUAGACUUCCUUGGUGACGAGAUGCCUCUUGUUGCAGAUCAGCCUGAUACAAAUGAUGUCAGCUCAGACACCACUGCGAGGAAGACGUCAAUUAAGAGAUCCUCUGCCCUGAAACACAAAGCCCCGACCAGUGAUGAUGCUCUUAUGGAUUUCCUAGGCAACCUACAUGCCGAGACUAACAAACAUCUCGAGGUGAUUGCAUCACGGAUCGGAUACGAGAGGUACGAACUGGGCACUGUUGAUGGACUGACUCUCGGGGAGAGGUACGAACUUUGUGACAUCCUUUGUGAAAACUCUCAACGCUUAGACAUUUUCAAUGGCAUGCCCCCAACUGCUCGGCUAGGAUAUGUGACCAGGUUUCUCACAGAUUAUCCUAAGGCCUCGUGGCCCUUUUGGGAGACUUGGAAAAGCAUAUUUGGCAGAGAUCGGGCCACUGGAGUUGCUGCUGAGCAGUUGGAUGUGGCUGUCGAUGCAUUGCGUAACAAGCAAUCAGUGGGGAGUGAAACCAACGAGAACGAUUAUCAUCCUUCCUUUAGGGUUUAGGGUUUAGACUUCCUUGGUGACGAGAUGCCUCUUGUUGCAGAUCAGCCUGAUACAAAUGAUGUCAGCUCAGACACCACUGCGAGGAAGACGUCAAUUAAGAGAUCCUCUGCCCUGAAACACAAAGCCCCGACCAGUGAUGAUGCUCUUAUGGAUUUCCUAGGCAACCUACAUGCCGAGACUAACAAACAUCUCGAGGUGAUUGCAUCACGGAUCGGAUACGAGAGGUACGAACUGGGCACUGUUGAUGGACUGACUCUCGGGAAGAGGUACGAACUUUGUGACAUCCUUUGUGAAAAAUCUCAACGCUUAGACAUUUUCAAUGGCAUGCCCCCAACUGCUCGGCUAGGAUAUGUGACCAGGUUUCUCACAGAUUAUCCUAAGGCCAUCUGAAAAGCAGUAGCAUCUAAUGGUACUGUGAAGUAUCCUAGUAGUUUAUUUAUGGUAAUAUGGCCAUAAUGGAGUACAAAAUA